rnacentral:rRNA from 1 species
GGGCCCGCACAAGCGGUGGAGUAUGUGGUUUAAUUCGAUGCAACGCGAAGAACCUUACCAGGGUUUGACAUCCUGCGAAUCUCUUGGAAACAGGAGAGUGCCUUCGGGAACGCAGUGACAGGUGGUGCAUGGCUGUCGUCAGCUCGUGUCGUGAGAUGUUGGGUUAAGUCCCGCAACGAGCGCAACCCACGUCUUUAGUUGCCAGCAUUUAGUUGGGCACUCUAGAGAGACUGCCGGUGAUAAACCGGAGAAGGUGGGACGACGUCAAGUCAUCAUGGCCCUUACGACCAGGGCUACACACGUGCUACAAUGGGAUGUACAAGGGUUGCGACCCCCGCGAGGGUGAGCUAAUCCCAUAAAGCAUCUCGU